UGGAAAGGGAGGGAAGGAACUCAGGGGGUUUAGGGACAAGGAAAAGACAGCCUAGCCUGGGGGAACACCUGCGGGCUCCUGAGGCCUGGUAGAUGGAUUUAGAAGGACACAAAAGGGUCACUGGGCAGCUUUGCAGAGAGCUCAGCGUGGUGCUUGUCACUCCUCGUUUAUGUGGUUGCUCCAUUUACAUUCCCCCAGUGGUCCAGGCAGCUGCAGAGGCUGCUGGGUCUCUCUCACUGCUCGGGAACAAGGUGAAGUCAAAUGGAAAAGCUCUGAAGGAGAGGAGCAGGACAGCUUGGUGCACCAGUGGAGUGCAGGAAGAUGAAGAAGCUCAUCCCUGUGGACCUUUCUCUUGAAUGCCUACUAUGAGUCACUCAGCAAGAGAGGCACCCAGCUCCCUCAAGGUCUGCAGUGCCUCGGAGGCCCACUUCCCUCCAUGACACAGUCUCUGAACAUAUUAUUCCUCACGGAUGAUCACCUUCUUAACUCCAUCCAGACGUGUGCCUCUGUCUCACUAUUUAGCGUUGUCCUAGAAAAUACUGAGUAAUUGUUUCAUGCGUAUACAUCAUGUUUCCUCAAGUAGAAUCUACCUUUAUACAAUCAAAAGUGUCAGAUUGAUGGAUGAGUAGCAGGUAAAUUUCUGAUAAAGAGAAUUAAAUUAAGUGUUAAUUGUAGAAUCUAGUGAUGGGUUUAUGGGUCUUAACUGUAAAAAUCUUUCAUCUUUUCUGUAUGUUUGAUAACUUUCAUAUAAAAAUAAUAAAAACUUUAGUUUAUCUUCUAUGUAAUUACAUGUUUACUUAAC
rnacentral:lncRNA from 10 species